rnacentral:rRNA from 1 species
AGAGUUUGAUCCUGGCUCAGGACGAACGCUGGCGGCGCGCCUAACACAUGCAAGUCGAACGGAGUUACUUUGAUAGAAUCCUUCGGGAGGACAUUGAUUUAACUUAGUGGCGAACGGGUGAGUAACACGUGAGGAACCUGCCCUUCAGAGGGGGACAACAGUUGGAAACGACUGCUAAUACCGCAUAAGACCACAGUACCGCAUGGUACAGGGGUCAAAGGAGCAAUCCGCUGAAGGAUGGCCUCGCGGCCGAUUAGCUAGAUGGCGGGGUAACGGCCCACCAUGGCGACGAUCGGUAGCCGGACUGAGAGGUUGAACGGCCACAUUGGGACUGAGACACGGCCCAGACUCCUACGGGAGGCAGCAGUGGGGAAUAUUGCACAAUGGAGGAAACUCUGAUGCAGCGACGCCGCGUGAGGGAAGAAGAUUUUCGGAUUGUAAACCUCUGUCUUCGGGGACGAUAAUGACGGUACCCGAGGAGGAAGCCACGGCUAACUACGUGCCAGCAGCCGCGGU